UGGAUGUGCGCCUAACGCUAAUAUAGCGUUGCAGGAGGCAGCUGAGAGUAGUCAAUAGCCCAGUGCUCCGGACAUGCCAAGGCAGAAGGAGGAGGACCAGCUACUGAGCUUCCGCAGAGAGUGGAGAAAGAGGAGGAGAAUCCUGAUGGGAGAUUGUAUGCUGUCUAAAUAUUCCUGAGGCUUUGCCUUGUGAUGCUUUUCUCCUGGUGUGCUCUAGUACUUUCAGUACCAGGGUUCAACAUUUUAUUCAACUUACCAUUCCCCAGAAGCCCAGCCUGAUGAACUCGUACAUUUCUGCCUUCCUCUGGAGUCACUUUGCCUUUUCAUCGGCAAACCUGACAACUCUGAUUUUACAGCUCCUGUUUAGUCCUUUUGAAAGGGCUGAGGUUCCUGCCAAAAGCAGGCUUGUGUGCGCACCCUCACUCAUGUGGACACAGAUGGCCUGGGGGUGUGGAGAGGCAGGCUGGCCCUCGAGCAGGAUUUUUGCGUGGUGUCCCAGGGAGCAUAGUUCCUAUGUACCCUGCGUGCCCAAGGGUGUCGAUUGUCUUUCACGUGGAGAGAAAAACAAUAUACCUUUCCUCCAGUCUGGUGGGGGUUUCACGAUGCACCUGCAAUAACACA
rnacentral:lncRNA from 1 species